rnacentral:rRNA from 1 species
AACGCGAAGAACCUUACCAACCUUUGACAUGGGGAUUAUGGUCGCCAGAGAUGGCUUCCUUCAGUUCGGCUGGGUCCCACACAGGUGCUGCAUGGCUGUCGUCAGCUCGUGUCGUGAGAUGUUGGGUUAAGUCCCGCAACGAGCGCAACCCUCACCUUCAGUUGCCAUCAUUUGGUUGGGCACUCUGAAGGAACUGCCGGUGACAAGCCGGAGGAAGGUGGGGAUGACGUCAAGUCCUCAUGGCCCUUACGGGUUGGGCUACACACGUGCUACAAUGGCGGUGACAAUGGGUUGCAAGCCCGCGAGGGUUAGCUAAUCUCAAAAAGCCGUCUCAGUUCGGAUUGCACUCUGCAACUCGAGUGCAUGAAGUCGGAAUCGCUAGUAAUCGUGGAUCAGCAUGCCACGGUGAAUACGUUCCCGGGCCUUGUACACACCGUAGAGAC